rnacentral:misc_RNA from 1 species
UGGCUUCUGCGAAGGAUCAAGGUACCACCGAAGAAAUUACCAAAUUUUCAAUGAAGAUAGAAUCAAAUUAUUGGCCUUUGAGCAAAUCCAUGUGUCAACAGAGUUAAUUUUUUCCAGAGUUAUGAUGAUCCCACCACCAGAAAGAGAAGAGAAAGAAAAUGGAAUUGAGAGUGACAUGGAGAAGUGGAGAGAAGUUGUCAUCUUCAAGUAGCAAUUGAUAAGGUUUGAUAUUUGAAAGUGGGUCAGAUAGUGAUGGAAAAGUUGAUG